rnacentral:rRNA from 1 species
AAUCAACGCUGGCGGCGUGCCUAACACAUGCAAGUCGAACGCGGAAAGGGCUUCGGCCCUGAGUAGAGUGGCGUCGGGUGAGUAACGCGUGGGUAAUCUACCCUCGGGUGGGAAUAACCAAUACGAAAGAUUGGCUAAUACCGCAUAAUGCAGCGGCUCGACAUCGAGACAGUUGUUAAAGCAGCAAUGCGCCAGAGGAGGAGCCUGCGUCUGAUUAGCUUGUUGGCGGGGUAACGGCCCACCAAGGCUACGAUCAGUAGCUGGUCUGAGAGGACGGCCAGCCACAAUGGCACUGAAACACGGGCCA